ACGGAGGGGGCAAGCGUUAUUCGGAAUUACUGGGCGUAAAGCGCGUGUAGGCGGUCCUGCAAGUGUGAUGUGAAAGCCACGGGCUUAACCCGGGAAGGGCAUUGGAAACUGCAGGACUUGAGUACUGGAGAGGAUGGGGGAAUUCCCGGUGUAGAGGUGAAAUUCGUAGAGAUCGGGAGGAAUACCAGUGGCGAAGGCGCCCUUCUGGACGGUAACUGACACUGAGACGCGAAAGCGUGGGGAGCAAACAG
rnacentral:rRNA from 1 species